rnacentral:rRNA from 1 species
GGCUCAGGACGAACGCGGCGGCGUGCUUAUACAUGCAAGUCGAGCCGGACAGAUGGGAGCUUGCUCCCUURAUGUUAGCGGCGGACGGGUGAAGUAACACGUGGGUAACCUGCCUGUAAGACUGGGAUAACUCCGGGAAACCGGGGCUAAUACCGGAUGGUUGUUUGAACCGCAUGGUUCAGACAUAAAAGGUGGCUUCGGCUACCACUUACAGAUGGACCCGCGGCGCAUUAGCUAGUUGGUGAGGUAACGGCUCACCAAGGCGACGAUGCGUAGCCCGACCUGAGAGGGUGAUCGGCCACACUGGGACUGAGACACGGCCCAGACUCCUACGGGAGGCAGCAGUAGGGAAUCUUCCGCAAUGGACGAAAGUCUGACGGAGCAACGCCGCGUGAGUGAAUGAAAGGUUUUCGGAUUCGUAAAGCUNYUGUUGUUAGGGGAAGAAACAAGUGCCGUUCAAAUAGGGCGGCACCUUUGACGGUACCUAACCAGAAAGCCCCGGUAACUACGUGCCACCAGCCGCGGUAAUCCGUAG